UGGGGCUGUAGCUCAGCUGGGAGAGCACCUGCUUUGCAAGCAGGGGGUCAGCGGUUCGAUCCCGCUCAGCUCCACCA
rnacentral:tRNA from 45 species